rnacentral:lncRNA from 1 species
CAUUUCUUGGGCCACUCCUGUGGCAUAUGGAGGUUCCCAGGCUAGGGGUCUAAUUGGAGCUGAGCUGCCAGCCUACGCCAGAGCCACAGCAACGUGGGAUCUGAGCCGCAUCUGCGAUCCACACCACAGCUCAUGGCAACGCCGGAUCGUUAACCCACUGAGCAAGGGCAGGGAUCAAACCCGCAACCUCAUGGUUCCUAGUCGGAUUCGUUAACCACUGCACCACGACGGGAACUCCUAAAAAUUUAUUUUAAAAGAUGAAACCUAAAACAGAAACCACAAAAUUAUAUUUAACUGGUUUUUAGUAUCUGCCAAGAAAAAUAAAGCCCCCAGAGAAAUAAAAAUCCACCCCCAAACCCAGUUUAAAAAGAAACAAAACAAAACAAAACACAGUGACAGCACAUACAGCCAUGGCCCCAUGGAGGGUAGAGAAUGCCAAGUGGUUCAGGCCUUAGUUCCCUGCUAUAGAUACUAAAUCACAUUGGAGGAGAGGAGGGUGCAAGGGCCAGGAAAGAAAGCCAGGAGGGGUAGUCUUAUAAAAUUACUUUGAGAGAUAUAUAUAACAAACAUAAAGUGGUGUGGCAUACAACCAUUAUGGUUGAGCAAAACAAAUCCCACACAAGAGGCCCUGAUCCCUGUCUGCCAGAGCAAUUGGGGCUGCCCCCUGGGUAGGAGGGGGUUCUGAGGUAAGGAGGGAACGGACCUUGGACUGCAACUGCACAGUGAGAUGGGGUGGGCAUAGAGGGGGACAUAGGGUCAGGGCUUGGAUCGGGUCCUGCCACUAGUCUGCUUUUGAGUCACUGUAAGUUGUAUCUUUCUAAUGUGAUUAAACUGUAAGGACUCAGUGGUAUGGUACAGAAGGGGAAAACAAGUCUUGGAAUCAGACUUCCUGGGUUUGAGUCCUGCUUUUAGAUUUACUUGUUAUGUGAUCUUAUUAGACAAGUUAUUUAACUUCCUAUUUUCAGAGUGGUGCUGUGAGGAUUAAAUAAAAUAAUCCACUUACCACAUUGUCUAGCAUUUGGUUAAUCACUCUAUAAAUGUUAGUGCUUAUUAAGUUACACAUAAACAUCACUAAUGAAGAAAGUUGUCUUUGGUAUGAGAAACAUGAUUUAUGGUAUCAGCAAAUGUUAAUAUAGUUCCUACAAUAUGCUUUUCUGUAUACAUGCAAAUGUAGCACAGGAAACAAAACAAAAAGGAUAAAAGUUCUUUUUUAAAGGGUAGUAUUAUUGCUGAAUCCUUUUUUUCCUUUAUCUCUCUAUAGUAUUAAGACUGAAUCAUUUUCUUCAGCUUGUUUUUUCUGCAUCAAUUUUCUAUAGUAAAAAAAAUUUGACAUUUUAAAUAAAACAAUUUAAUUUCUUUUUUAACAUAAGAGAACAAUAUAUUAAUAAUAGAAAUUAAAGUUUCUUAAGUCUUGAAGUAUACAAAUUCUAUAAGUUACGUAAAGCAACACAAAAUAAUUGUAAAAUUAUAAAAUUCAUGACUUGAAUCACUUUACAUAGAAUUCUUGGUAUUACAAAUAGCUACAUCAUAGCAACCAGCAGUUUUCUGCUUCAUUCCUACUUAUAACCUUAAACUUCCCAAACUUUCCUACUGUGAAAUUUUCACCAUCAUCACAAGGUUUACAGUGAGAGAAACACAAACAAGCAAUUACAAUACAUUAUGUUAAGCAUAGUGAUAUGAUUUAUCUAAGAGCUGGGGGGGGGAAUUGCUCUUUAAAUUAAACUAUGAAAUAGAAGAGAAUAGUUUAAAGCAAAGUAUUUAGAGAGUCAUUUCACAGAGUAAUAACUGCUUCUUCUAGGCCAGUAGGACUCACCCAGUAAUUCUCAAUGAGUAUUUCACUAAAUUUUAAUCAACAUGUAAAAUUUACCCUCAUAACUAGUAGAGCAAGGGUAUUCAAUACAAAUAGUACGUUGAACAGACCGUGCGACCCAGUGUAGAGCAGAUACAAUUUAUCAUUAGAACUAAGAAAACACACUUUAAUGUCAAGCUAGAGUCAAAAAAAGAUUACGUGAUUCAUGAUUUUAAGAUUAAAUGAUUACAUUCAUUUCUUAGGUAUAUCUGGGCAGAGGCAAUAGUGGUGUUGGUUUACAAAGGCAGCAAACACUUGUAUUACUCAAAGUGAUGAACUGAAUGGUAAGUUAACUGUGCUUUUUAUAAAGUACAUGAGACACUACUACACUGGUAGAGUAAUGAUACAUUCUGUUGACCUGUUUAAUUUCGUUUGGAGCCUUUAAUCCCUCUUAGAUUCUUUUUUUUUGUUUGUUUUUUUGUUUUUUAGGGCCACACUCACGCACAUGGAGGUUCCCAGGCUAGGGGUCUAAAUGGAGCUACAGCUGCCAGCCUACGCCAGAGUGACAGCAAUACCAGAUCCGAGCUGCAUCUGUGAUAUACACCACAGCUCACGGCAACACCAGAUCCUUAAUCCACUGAGCGAGGUCAGGGAUUGAACCCGCAACCUCGUGGUUCCUAGUCAGAUUCCUUUCCACUGCACUACGACAGGAACUCCAAUCCCUCUUAGAUUCUAAUUUGACUGAAGGUGAACAUUUUGAAAUAGUGUCAAUUGGAUGGGGCAUGGAUUGGAACAGGGGGAGAGAAGGUGAACAAAUAUGGAGUCCCUUUUGGACUUUUUUUCUUCUUCUUUUUUUUUUUUUUCUGGCCCCACUCACAGCAUGCAGAGGUUCCUGGGCCAGAGACUGAACCCAAGCCAUAGCAAUGACAACACCAAAUACUUAACCACUAGGCCAACCAGGAAACUCCCUGGACUUUUUGAAUUUUCCAUCAAAUUCAAGUAUUAUGCUUUUUCAAACCACUUUUUAAAAAAUUGAAGUAUAGUUAAUUUACAGUGUUAUAUUAGUUUCAGGUGUAUAGCAAAGUGAUUCAGAUAUACAUAUGAAUCUUUUACAGAUUCUUUUCCAUUAUAGGUUAUUACAAAAUAUUGAAUAUAGUUUCCUGUGUACACAGUAGGUCCUUCUUGUUUACCUGUUUUAUAUAUAGUAGUG